CUCUCGAUAGCUCAGUUGGCAGAGCGGAGGACUGUAGAUGUUACAACGGUGAUCCUCAGGUCGCUGGUUCAAAUCCGACUCGAGGGA
rnacentral:tRNA from 1 species